rnacentral:rRNA from 1 species
UACGUAGGGUGCGAGCGUUGUCCGGAAUUAUUGGGCGUAAAGAGCUUGUAGGUGGUUUGUCGCGUCUGCUGUGAAAACCCGAGGCUCAACCUCGGGCCUGCAGUGGGUACGGGCAGACUAGAGUGCGGUAGGGGAGAUUGGAAUUCCUGGUGUAGCGGUGGAAUGCGCAGAUAUCAGGAGGAACACCAAUGGCGAAGGCAGAUCUCUGGGCCGUAACUGACGCUGAGGAGCGAAAGCAUGGGGAGCGAACAGG